rnacentral:lncRNA from 1 species
CCGGCGUCUGGCAUGGGAGGGGCUGUGGAGAGCGAGGAAGAAGCAUUUUUGGCUGUGAAUCCAGGCACCUCUGGAGUUAGAAACACAAGUUCUUUGCUCUGAGAAUGUUGAUGCUUUGGAUAAAUGAUUGUGACAGGGGCCGUUCCCACUGUCCCCUCCCUCAAGUACGGUGGUUCCUUCCACCAACUAUUUAUUCUUUUCCUCAACCCGCUCCUCACUACGGUGUUUACUUUCGUGGUGGCAAUUCCAAACUUAGCAGAUAGCUGACUCCAAAGCGGUUCCCAAAAAACACCGUAAGGGAACCUAAAGGUAGUCAGCCCAAACCUCUGAUUUUAUGAUUCACGAAAUGGAAAAUAAACAAAUGCCUCCUUUGCUUUUCCUUCAUCUGAUUAUGAACGCACCUGAUCCACAGGGAAACAUUUCAAUCAAUGAGUGUGUGUAAAUUAUGUGCAUCACUACUAUACAUAAUAGGCACAAUUUUUCUUAACAUUAGUGAAUAUGUGUAUUUACACCACACAGCAACCACAGUGAAUGAAAUUACUUCUUAUUCAUGUGUAGAAGUAAAAAAAAAAUACUGAUUUACAUGAAUUCAGUCAAAGAAAUUUAGCUCUGGUGUCUGCGAUUAUCUUUCUGUGACUGGAUUACACAACAAGCUAAUCUCUCCCGAAAUAGCUACUAUGUUACAGCCCCCCACCCCACAUCUCUUUCCAUUUCUCUUCAAAAAUGCAUAGAAAAUGUCAGUCAAGUUUCUGUGGGACUUUAAAUAAUUGAAAAGAGAGACAUAUUAUGUCCCAGUGAAUCACUUGAUUUUGCUGUAGCCUUUUAUAUUCUCUGUGGAUAUUCUGUAUAUUAAUGUAAAAAUAAAACUUCUCUGGAUUCCUUAAUGUUUUCCAUGAAUAUUAAUCCUGUGUUCCCCCCCAAUCAGAAGAGAGUAAAAAACAGGAAUUAAAACUUCCUCCUGGGACUGAAAUACCCUCACAAAGAGAAGCAAAUCAGUGACUGAAGGUCAAUAGAGACCAUCAAGGUAUGAAAAGGAAGGAAUCGGAUUUUCCAUACUGGAAACGGUGGAGAAAGUGCAAAUAGUGCCUCUGUAGAUCCUGGAUGCGACGAUGCCCUGUGCUCUUCCUCCUCUCACAGUCCUACAGGGUCUUGAAAUCGGAAAUGGAAUAGCAUUCUGCCCAGUUUUCACAUCAUCUACCCUUUUGGAAAAGUAUGCAGGUGUCAUAUCUUUGAAGGAGCUACAUUUUUAUUACUCAUCUAAGAUGUUGUUUAAUUGUUCCUAUUUAUAAUAAAUAUUUGUGAAAUAUUUUCAACUUUUUUUUGUUAUUGCCAUUUUAAGGAUACUACUAUUACUGGGUUUUUCAAGUUCUCUUAUCUUAAAUACAGAAAAAGUCUGGAUUAGGAAGAAGCAUCUCCACAGCCACAAGAUAACAGGAUUGAUCUCUGCGUAGUCUCUAAUUAGGCAUAAGCAGCACGCACAAAUGUAAGCUCUUUGGACUACAUAAACAGAAAAAAUAAUUUGAAGGUCAUAGACAAGAAGAAACUUCACUAGAG